GAUGAACGCUGGCGGCGUGCCUAAUACAUGCAAGUCGAGCGAACAGACGAGGAGCUUGCUCCUCUGACGUUAGCGGCGGACGGGUGAGUAACACGUGUAUAACCUACCUAUAAGACUGGGAUAACUUCGGGAAACCGGAGCUAAUACCGGAUAAUAUAUUGAACCGCAUGGGGCAAUAGUGAAAGACGGUUUUGCUGUCACUUAUAGAGGGAUCUGCGCCGCAUUAGGUAGUUGGUAAGGUAACGGCUUACCAAGGGAACGAUGCGUAGGCGACCUGAGAGGGUGAUCGGCCACCCUGGAACUGGGACACGGUCCAGGCUCCUACGGGAGGCCGCAGUAGGGAAUCUUCCGCAAUGGGCGAAAACCUGACGGAGCAACGCCGCGUGAGUGAUGACGGUCUUCGGAUCGUAAAAAUCUGUUAUGAGGGAAGAACAAAUGUGUAAGUAACUGUGCACGUCUUGACGGUACCUAAUCAGAAAGCCACGGCUAACUACGUG
rnacentral:rRNA from 1 species